rfam:Triticum aestivum genome assembly, contig: Triticum_aestivum_CS42_TGACv1_scaffold_272090_3DS
UUUAUACUCCCUUCGUCUGAAAUUAUUUGUCGCACAAAUGGAUGAAAAUGGAUAUAUCUAGAAUUAAAAUACAUCUAGAUACAUUUAUUUCUUCGACAAAUAUUUCCGGACGAAGGGAGUAUGAA